rnacentral:rRNA from 1 species
AUUGAACGCUGGCGGCAUGCUUUACACAUGCAAGUCGAACGGUAACAGGCCGCAAGGUGCUGACGAGUGGCGAACGGGUGAGUAAUGCAUCGGAACGUGCCCAGUCGUGGGGGAUAACUACUCGAAAGAGUAGCUAAUACCGCAUACGAUCUAUGGAUGAAAGCGGGGGACCGUAAGUCCUCGCGCGAUUGGAGCGGCCGAUGUCAGAUUAGGUAGUUGGUGGGGUAAAGGCUCACCAAGCCAACGAUCUGUAGCUGGUCUGAGAGGACGACCAGCCACACUGGGACUGAGACACGGCCCAGACUCCUACGGGAGGCAGCAGUGGGGAAUUUUGGACAAUGGGCGCAAGCCUGAUCCAGCAAUGCCGCGUGCAGGAAGAAGGCCUUCGGGUUGUAAACUGCUUUUGUACGGAACGAAACGGCUCUGGUUAAUACCCGGGGCUAAUGACGGUACCGUAAGAAUAAGCACCGGCUAACUACGUG